rnacentral:rRNA from 1 species
CAUCGCCGCGGGAAUACGAAGGGGGCUAGCGUUGUUCGGAAUUACUGGGCGUAAAGCGCACGUAGGCGGCUUUGUAAGUCAGAGGUGAAAGCCCGGGGCUCAACCCCGGAAUUGCCUUUGAGACUGCAUCGCUUGAAUCCAGGAGAGGUGAGUGGAAUUCCGAGUGUAGAGGUGAAAUUCGUAGAUAUUCGGAAGAACACCAGUGGCGAAGGCGGCUCACUGGACUGGUAUUGACGCUGAGGUGCGAAAGCGUGGGGAGCAAACAGGAUUAGAUACCCCCGUAGUCCCUGUCUCUUAUACC